rnacentral:rRNA from 1 species
CCUACGGGAAGCAGCAGUGGGGGAUAUUGCACAAUGGGGGAAACCCUGAUGCAGCGACGCCGCGUGAGUGAAGAAGUAUUUCGGUAUGUAAAGCUCUAUCAGCAGGGAAGAAAAUGACAGUACCUGAACAAGACGCCCCGGCCAACUCCGGGCCAGACACCGCGGUAAUACGGAGGGGGCCAACGUUAUCCGGAUUUACUGGGUGUAACGGGAGCGUAAACGGGUAUGCAAGUCUGGAGUGAAAGCCCGGGGCCCAACCCCGGGACUGCUUUUGAAACUGUGGAACUGGAGUGCAGGAGGGGCAGGCGGAAUUCCUGGUGGAGCGGUGAAAUGCGUAGAUAUCAGGAGGAACACCGGCGGCGAAGGCGGCCUGCUGGACUGAAACUGACGUUGAGGCUCGAAAGCGUGGGGAGCAAACAGGAUUAGAUACCCGUGUAGUC